GAUCAAUCUUUAUUUUCACAUAUAAUUUUUGUUCUUCAUAGUUUAAUUUAUAUGUCAAACCGUGUUUUACGUAACGAUUAAUUUGUUACAUAAUUUGUAUUAGAUUGAAACUACAAAAUUAUCAAUACAUACAUUUUGUUCGAUAAAAUUUUAUAACAAUAUAUUCUGAAUGUAUUUUUAUAGCCUAUAAAAAUAAAUUCAACUUUUGUGUUAAGACGUUGAUUUUAAAUGUAUUGAUUGUUAGAAAAAUAGUUCUUUUCUUUAUUACACAUUUCAUUGGGAUAAAGGCUGUAUGCCGGAGACCAUGUGAAGCAGAGGAGAAGUAUGCAAACGUUUACGGUAUUUACUGAUACGAGUACUCUAUGGUGGAGAAAACUUUCUGAAAAACUAUUAGGAUUUCGUGAGAAAUACUAGGCAUUCGCGGAAGAUCAGCGUCGUGGUUUACGCCAUGACAUCGUGCUGAACGAAGACAAUUUUAGUACGUUACCUCUUUCAAUUAUAUGUUCAGUGAUGUCUGUCGUGGCUUUUGUACAAAAUAAAGGUUUUUUCUUUCUUU